AGUGAACGCUGGCGGUAGGCCUAACACAUGCAAGUCGAACGGCAGCACAGUAAGAGCUUGCUCUUACGGGUGGCGAGUGGCGGACGGGUGAGGAAUACAUCGGAAUCUACUUUUUCGUGGGGGAUAACGUAGGGAAACUUACGCUAAUACCGCAUACGACCUACGGGUGAAAGCAGGGGAUCUUCGGAACUUGCGCGAUUGAAUGAGCCGAUGUCGGAUUAGCUAGUUGGCGGGGUAAAGGCCCACCAAGGCGACGAUCCGUAGCUGGUCUGGGAGGAUGAUCAGCCACACUGGAACUGAGACACGGUCCAGACUCCUACGGGAGGCAGCAGUGGGGAAUAUUGGACAAUGGGCGCAAGCCUGAUCCAGCCAUACCGCAUGGGUGAAGAAGGCCUUCGGGUUGUAAAGCCCUUUUGUUGGGAAAGAAAAGCAGCAGGUUAAUACCCCGCUGUUCUGACGGUACCCAAAGAAUAAGCACCGGCUAACUUCGUG
rnacentral:rRNA from 1 species